rnacentral:rRNA from 1 species
UACGUAGGGGGCUAGCGUUGUCCGGAAUCAUUGGGCGUAAAGAGCGUGUAGGCGGUCCGGUAAGUCCGCUGUGAAAGUCGGGGGCUCAACCCUCGAAUGCCGGUGGAUACUGUCGGGCUAGAGUACGGAAGAGGCGAGUGGAAUUCCGGGUGUAGCGGUGGAAUGCGUAGAGAUCCGGAAGAACACCGGUGGCGAAGGCGGUUAGCUGGGCAGUUGCUGACACUGAGGCGCGACAGCGUGGGGAGCAAACAGG